CAGCCGCCGCGGUAAUACGAAGGGGGCUAGCGUUGCUCGGAAUUACUGGGCGUAAAGGGAGCGUAGGCGGGUCGUUUAGUCAGAGGUGAAAUCCCGGGGCUCAACCUCGGAACUGCCUUUGAUACUGGCGACCUUGAGUAUGGGAGAGGUGAGUGGAACUCCGAGUGUAGAGGUGAAAUUCGUAGAUAUUCGGAAGAACACCAGUGGCGAAAGCGACUCACUGGCCCAUUACUGACGCUGAGGCUCGAAAGCGUGGGGAGCAAACAGGAUUAGAUACCCGGGUAGUCCCUGUCUCUUAUAC
rnacentral:rRNA from 1 species